UCGGGGUGAGCGGCGGACGGGUUAGUAACGCGUGGGAACGUACCCUUCUCUACGGAAUAGCCAUUGGAAACGAUGAGUAAUACCGUAUACGCCCUUUGGGGGAAAGAUUUAUCGGAGAAGGAUCGGCCCGCGUUAGAUUAGAUAGUUGGUGGGGUAAUGGCCUACCAAGUCUACGAUCUAUAGCUGGUUUGAGAGGAUGAUCAGCAACACUGGGACUGAGACACGGCCCAGACUCC
rnacentral:rRNA from 1 species